GGGGCGAGUCGUCCACAGGUCACCAGAAAAUAAUUAUAUCACCGUCGUCGCAGAAGGCGACGAGAAUGUGGAAAUAAAAAUAAGAAAAAGGGGAAACAACAAGAAAAGUGCGAGAGAUAAUCAGAAGACGGGAGAAUUCUGUGGAUCACCAUUCGGAUGCGCUGAUCCAUAAAAGUGUCGCCGUGAUCCAGACGAUUUCGGAAACCCUCCGCGACCGGGAGGUGGCGGUCGCGAAUCAGGAGAGAGAGGUAACAAAGCGAGAGACCCUUCUUCUACGGGCCGUCAUUGGUGAAGACCUCCAGGAGGAGUCGGCGGCAGAGGAGGCGGAGGAGGAGGUGGGCGCGAGAGUGGACCAGGGGAGGGAAGUCGCCGCGGAGGGGCGAGUCGUCCACAGGUCACCAGAAAAUAAUUAUAUCACCGUCGUCGCAGAAGGCGACGAGAAUGUGGAAAUAAAAAUAAGAAAAAGGGGAAACAACAAGAAAAGUGCGAGAGAUAAUCAGAAGACGGGAGAAUUCUGUGGAUCACCAUUCGGAUGCGCUGAUCCAUAAAAGUGUCGCCGUGAUCCAGACAAUUUCGGAAACCCUCCGCGACCGGGAGGUGGCGGUCGCGAAUCAGGAGAGAGAGGUAACAAAGCGAGAGACCCUUCUUCUACGGGCCGUCAUUGGUGAAGACCUCCAGGAGGAGUCGGCGGCAGAGGAGGCGGAGGAGGAGGUGGGCGCGAGAGUGGACCAGGGGAGGGAAGUCGCCGCGGAGGGGCGAGUCGUCCACAGGUCACCAGAAAAUAAUUAUAUCACCGUCGUCGCAGAAGGCGACGAGAAUGUGGAAAUAAAAAUAAGAAAAAGGGGAAACAACAAGAAAAGUGCGAGAGAUAAUCAGAAGACGGGAGAAUUCUGUGGAUCACCAUUCGGAUGCGCUGAUCCAUAAAAGUGUCGCCGUGAUCCAGACGAUUUCGGAAACCCUCCGCGACCGGGAGGUGGCGGUCGCGAAUCAGGAGAGAGAGGUAACAAAGCGAGAGACCCUUCUUCUACGGGCCGUCAUUGGUGAAGACCUCCA
rnacentral:lncRNA from 1 species